rnacentral:rRNA from 1 species
UACGGAGGAUGCAAGCGUUAUCCGGAUUUAUUGGGUUUAAAGGGUGCGCAGGUUGUUUGAUAAGUCAGUGGUGAAAGUCUGUCGCUUAACGGUAGGAUUGCCAUUGAUACUGUUAGACUUGAAUAUGGAUGAGGUAGGCGGAAUGUGUAGUGUAGCGGUGAAAUGCAUAGAUAUUACACAGAACACCGAUUGUGAAGGCAGCUUACUAAUCCAUCAUUGACGCUGAGGCACGAAAGUGUGGGGAUCAAACA